AGAGAGUUCAAAGCCAGACUCAGCAAAAAGCAAGGCGACAGGGACCAAAACGGUUGGAUUGAGAAGUGCACCUACCUCUGCAGACCUCAACAUGGUCCCUUCCCGUCAGACAGAUUUCUGUAGCAUUUGCCUCCGCAUGUUAUAUUUGGAAUUGUUGGCCGGCUUUCCUCUCUCUGGUGUUGGCAGCAAGAUCCAAAAUGAGGUUUUCGAAGAAUGAGAGUAAAAAGGUCUCUGCACAGGCAAAACUAAGCUCAGAUUGGAGUUUUGCAUAUUUAAUUUUCAGUGAGUCAUAACAAAGGUUUCACUCACAGACUCUAGAAUAAAAAUCUUUGUUGUUUGAAUUUCUUAA